rnacentral:rRNA from 1 species
UUAGAGUUUGAUCCUGGCUCAGGACGAACGCUGGCGGCGUGCCUAACACAUGCAAGUCGAGCGAAUGAAGUUCCUUCGGGAACGGAUUUAGCGGCGGACGGGUGAGUAACACGUGGGCAACCUGCCUCAUAGAGGGGAAUAGCCUUCCGAAAGGGAGAUUAAUACCGCAUAAGAUUGUAGUACCGCAUGGUACAGCAAUUAAAGGAGUAAUCCGCUAUGAGAUGGGCCCGCGGCGCAUUAGCUAGUUGGUGAGGUAACGGCUCACCAAGGCGACGAUGCGUAGCCGACCUGAGAGGGUGAUCGGCCACAUUGGGACUGAGACACGGCCCAGACUCCUACGGGAGGCAGCAGUGGGGAAUAUUGCACAAUGGGGGAAACCCUGAUGCAGCAACGCCGCGUGAGUGAUGACGGCCUUCGGGUUGUAAAGCUCUGUCUUCAGGGACGAUAAUGACGGUACCUGAGGAGGAAGCCACGGCUAACUACGUGCCAGCAGCCGCGGUAAUACGUAGGUGGCGAGCGUUGUUCGGAUUUACUGGGCGGUAAGGGAGCGGAGGCGGGUUUUUAAAUGAGAUGUGAAAACUCGGGCUUACCCGAGUGCUGCAUUUAAAUGGGAGUCUAGAGUGGGGGAAAGGAAAAGGGAAUUCUAGUGGACCGGGAAAUGGCGUAAAAAUAGGAAGAAACCCGGGGGGGAAGGCCCUUCUUUGGACUGUAACUGAAGCUGAAGCUCGAAAGCGUGGGGAGCAAAAAAGAAUUAAAUACCCUGGUAAUCCCCCCCCGUAAAACAAUGAAUAACUAGGGGGGAGGGGGUUGGUCAUGAACCUUCCUGGUGCCCCC